rnacentral:rRNA from 1 species
UACGGAGGGUCCGAGCGUUAAUCGGAAUUACUGGGCGUAAAGCGCACGCAGGCGGUUUGUUAAGCUAGAUGUGAAAGCCCCGGGCUCAACCUGGGAAUAGCAUUUAGAACUGGCAGACUAGAGUCUUGGAGAGGGGAGUGGAAUUUCUGGUGUAGCGGUGAAAUGCGUAGAUAUCUAGAGGAAUGCCAGAGGCGAAGGCG